GUGCAUUAGGUUUAAAAUCUAAAAAUGAUAGUAACCCAUCCUAUAUUAAUAAUUUAUAUUUAAACUAUAUUUAUAUAUAAAUUUUAAAAUUAAAUAUAGUGGCAGAUAAGUGUAUUAAACUUAGGAUUUAAAAAUGAUAGUAAAAUAUCCUAUAUUA
rnacentral:tRNA from 1 species